rnacentral:lncRNA from 1 species
GGCAGCUGCUCUUUCCUCCCCAGCCAUACUGUUCAGCUUUUUAAAUAACACUGAGGACAGAGCAUGUUACUAGAACAAACUGUUAGUUGCCUUACCUUGCUCAUUUCUUUGUGGAAGUUUUCUUCUAGGCCUGCUAUACUCUGGAAUGUGUUGACGUAGAAACCAACACGACUAUUCCAUAGUGAAGGCAGCUCCUCCUGCAGAUCAAUGUUCAUUUCUUCAAACACCUUCUGAGCCUUUACUAACUCUUCUUCAGCCUUUGCAAUUUUGGUUUCAUCCUUCUUCUUUGCAGUUUGCAGGGCUUCAAAGUGGUGUCUGGCACUGUCAUAAUCCACAAGCUUCCUUCCUCGCUUUGCUAUGCGAGAUUUGAUAUCUGGGAAUUGGCCAAGGUAGGUAUCCAUGGUCAGAAGUGCCUGAUCCACCAGUUUCUGAUGGAAAUCCGUCCAGAGCAGGUCAUUGUUCUCUGCUAUUUUAUUUGUGUCAUCUCUCCCAGGCCAGUCCGGCUCAUAAACUUCCUGCAAACACUCUGUCAGCUUCUUGGAGGCUUCAUGCAUAGCUUUUACGGAAGCCAAGUAAGUUCGGAGAUCCUUCUGCAGCCUUGUGCCUUCAGACAGCUGCUUGUUGAAGUUCUGCACACACUGUUCAAACUGCUCAUCUUUUGUUUCAUCUGCUUUCCCAAGCUUCUGAAGGACCUUCUCCUGCGCCCGGGUGAGCUUCUUCUGGACGUUGCUGGCGAUCUUGCCGGCCGUCACCCCCUUGCUGCCCAGCUCGGCCAUCUUGCCUGCUCUUUUAACGGGCGGCUGCGAGCGCCGGGCCGGCGGGAAGGGGGGGAAAACCCGGCGGGAGACAAUGGCCCCGGCCGCCGCCGCCCGCCCCACGGCGC